GAUGAACGCUAGCGGCAGGCUUAAUACAUGCAAGUCGAGGGGCAGCAGUUUUGUAGCAAUACAGAAGCUGGCGACCGGCAAACGGGUGCGGAACACGUACGCAACCUUCCUUUAACUGGAAGAUAGCCCACCGAAAGGUGGAUUAAUACUCCAUAACAUAUUGAAGAGGCAUCUCUUUGAUAUUAAAGCUCCGGCGGUUAAAGAUGGGCGUGCGUCUGAUUAGGUAGUUGGCGGGGUAACGGCCCACCAAGCCUUCGAUCAGUAGCUGAUGUGAGAGCAUGAUCGGCCACACGGGCACUGAGACACGGGCCCGACUCCUACGGGAGGCAGCAGUGAGGAAUAUUGGUCAAUGGACGCAAGUCUGAACCAGCCAUGCCGCGUGGAGGAUGAAGGCCCUCUGGGUUGUAAACUUCUUUUCUUUGGGACGAAACCCCUGUUUCUACGGGGACUGACGGUACCAGAGGAAUAAGCACCGGCUAACUCCGUGCCAGCCGCCGCAGUAACAC
rnacentral:rRNA from 1 species